rnacentral:misc_RNA from 1 species
UUUUGUUUCAUAGCCUUCUAAUUUCUACAGCAUGUCCUCCAGGAUAUUUUGGCAAAGAGUGCACGCCUUGUCCCGCAGGAAGGUACGGUAACGAGUGUGAAGGCAGGUGUUAUCCAGAGUGUCCUGUUGAGUAUUGCAACCAUGUCAAAGGAUGUUUUUGGAAGAUUGAAAAUACAACUCUAUCAUUUACACCAGUAUGUGGAGACAGCUGUGUUUCAUAUUGCGCUGAUUGGGAACCGCAACUAUGUCGAAGGAGGUCUUCUGAAGAUUGAAAACAGAAUUCAAAACACGGUGUCAAUUUUGGUAAUGGUUUCCUUUCGCUGUGGAAAGCACAGUUGCUAAAAGCAAGUGAUGACUCCUCCAAUUUAUAUAAUCUUUCAUUCAAACUUCUCGUGUUACCUUUGAGAACAGGACAGAACUGUCGACAAUAGAGCUGCAGGAACGACACGUGCAAGAAAAGUCAAGUCUAGACAACGUUUUCCAUCAGGAUUCUUUGUCAGAUGAAGGGGACAAAACCUUACAGAUUUAGGUGUCAAAAAUUAAAAUGAAAUAAUGAAUUCUAAAUUGUGAUAAUAUAUAACUAUUGUGUUAUCAGUAUAAUAUAUUUUUUCCAGCAUCAAUCUAUCAGCUGUUAUCUGAUACCUGGAAAUGUAAAUGUAGGUGUACAAGAAUUAAAUCAAUUAAAAUAAAAAAAAGGC